rnacentral:lncRNA from 1 species
UCUGGUGUCUCCAAAUUUGUGUUAAGUUUGGUCAACAAAUCUUUGGCAAUUUCAUCUUUCAAUAAACUAGCAAGCUUUGGAGUCAGCAAUGCUCUGAGAACAUCAGCCGCAGUUGCAUUGUAAGGUGUCAAACCCUCAUCUGCACACAGUCCACUAAGCCUUGAUAGGGCUUGUGAUGCUUGUACGGCAUGCUCAUUCUUGGCGAUUUGAAUGCUAACUCCAACCCCGUGAGACUCGACGGAAUUUGAUUCCUCUGCAGUUGAGUCAUACUGUAGUAAUAAUGGGAGAAUGUACCUGAUCGAACAGACGCACAGCCAUUUGUUAUACACAAGCAAAGGUACAAUUGAGUGUAAUAAAGACUAAAAAAAGUUCGUGUCAAAUAUAACUGAACAAGAACAUAUUGACGACAACAAAGAGAAAGAAAACAACUCACCAUAAGGCACCGGCCCUUAGCAGACCCUGCUGAAGCUCGGGGAAGACGGAAACAUUGGCAAUAGACUGAAGAGCAGCAUUAAAAGUGGCAGUGCUGUGACAGUUUCUGGGGAUAGUCACCAAGAUGCUGCAAAACCUGAGGAGAGAAAACGAUAAAUCAAAACUCAAAGAUAAAAAAAUAUAUUAGUUUACAAAUAAUAAUCAAAAGAAAAUGACCUACAGCCCGCAGCAAGAUAUAUAUAAAAUACCUGACAUAUAAGAUGUUCUGCUCUCAUUUUAUGUGUCCAUAUAAUCUCAGGAGUAUCGGAAUCAGAGACCAUGGCAGCUGCAAACGCAGCCGGUCCACUACGCAAGUAUAGACCAAAUGUACAUGGAAAUUUGAAAAUGCUUAUGAACCACUCAUUUCAAUAUUUUUAAGCUGGUCAGACUAAAAAUUCAGAAAACGAUAAACAUUUACCUCUGGUGUCUCCAAAUUUGUGUUAAGUUUGGUUAACAAAUCUUUGGCAAUUUCAUCUUUCAAUAAACUAGCAAGCUUUGGAGUCAGCAAUGCUCUGAGAACAUCAGCCGCAGUUGCAUUGUAAGGUGUCAAACCCUCAUCUGCACACAGUCCACUAAGCCUUGAUAGGGCUUGUGAUGCUUGUACGGCAUGCUCAUUCUUGGCGAUUUGAAUGCUAACUCCAACCCCGUGAGACUCGACGGAAUUUGAUUCCUCUGCAGUUGAGUCAUACU